UGACCGGCGUCGAUGCGACAGUUCUGGUCCAUGAUGGGCACGGGGUGUGUGCCGGCGUGAGUCCAUGCUCGCGUUCCUGACGUGAAGGAGUUGCAUGCACAGAGGCUGUUGCGAUCUGUUGGAGCUCGCUACGUGGUGUGCGCGUGACUCGCGUGGGGUUAGUUAGUGCAUGAAUCAGAUCAGCUGGAUAAGGUUUUUAGCUAGUGCGUGAGUGCCGGCCAAGUUAAUUGAGUUAGUGGCCGGGUGUGAUGGUGCAUGCAUGGGUUAGUGGCCGGUGUGGUGGCUCGGUCAUGUGAGUGCGGGUGCUGGUGUGUAGCUUGGCUAUAAAAGCCCAUCCGGUGUAUUGAUGUAAAGUGCGCCGGUUUGUUGCCACGCCACGGUGACGGUGUGUGCCGAGCCGAGGGGGAGGGGCCCAAGGAAGAUGCAGUCACCGUCGGAACUGUGGUACGCGCCCGGUCGAUGUGAGAGUUCUUCCGGGGUUGUGCUGCGUGUGUGCGUGUGUACCUCCAUGUAUAUGUGUUUGAGGGAGUUGAGAUGAAUAGAUGCCAACAUACAGACCGUUCUUCGGCCGGGGCGUUCAUCGCCAGAAGUGUGAUUUGUUCAUCGUCUUCUACCUCCGUCCGGCGUUGAUCGUCGGAGGGCUUCUCGGCAUGCCGGCGGUGGCGGUGUUCGUUGGCGGCUGCGCGGUAAAGCUCCGGGCCGUGUGUCGGCGUAUGGAGGUGGCCGGCGCUGCGGCUGUCAUGGCGCGUGGUGGAGGUGGCGGGUGGUGAUGUCGUACGUGCGGCAACCGCGGAGGCCGCCGAGGCGCUGCGUGGUGGCGCAGCGGCGCUUCACGGCGGCGUGGAUGCUGUUGCGGCUGUGGUGCGGCAUCCGGGGAACGACGUCGACAACGAGUGUAGCGCGGUGGCCAUGGUGCGGAGACCGGGCGGUGCGGCACAGGUCGUCGCGUGCAAGGGGCCGCCGGCAACGAGUACAAGACGACGACGACGGCAAGGUCAUGGCUUAGGGGGUGAGGGUUGGCAAUAAGCCAUGCUUGUGCCCGUCCGGUGGUGACCGGCGUCGACGCGACAGUUUUAGUCCAUGAUGGGCACGGGGUGUGUGCCGGCGUGAGUCCAUGCUCGCGUUCCUGACGUGAAGGAGUUGCAUGCACAGAGGCUGUUGCGAUCUGUUGGAGCUAGCUACGUGGUGUGCGCGUGACUUGCAUGGGGUUAGUUAGUGCAUGAAUCAGAUCAGCUAGAUAAGGUUGUUAGCUAGUGCGUGAGUGCCGGCCAAGUUAAUUGAGUUAGUGGCCGGGUGUGAUGGUGCAUGCAUGGGUUAGUGGCCGGUGUGGUGGCUGGGUCAUGUGAGUGCGGGUGCUGGUGUGUAGCUUGGCUAUAAAAGCCCAUCCCGUGUAUUGAUGUAAAGUGCCCCGGUUUGUUGCCGCGCUACGGUGACGGUGUGUGCCGAGCCGAGGGGGAGGGGCCAAAGAAGAUGUAGUCUUCGUCGGGACUGUAGUACGCGCCCGGUCGAUGUGAGAGUUAUUCCGAGGUUGUGCUGCGUGUGUGCGUGUGUACCUCUAUGUAUAUGUGUUUGAGGGAGUUGUGAUUUGUUCAUCGUCUUCUACCUCCGUCCGGCGUUGAUCGUCGGAGGGCUUCUCGACGCUCGUCGCCGUGGGUCCUUAUUAUAGUGCAUAGUAUGCCAAGCAUAAUCGUUUUCCAAACUAGGACAGUCAUGACUGAGUAACCAUGACUAUAAGCUAUUGCAUCCCGAUCAUGCUUAUAUUUAAUGUUGGAAUAAUCAAGCUUUUCAGCCUACCGACACCUGUAUCCGAGUUCAGUUGUCUUAAUAGAAACAUGCCGGCCGGACUUGUUUCCUGAAA